rnacentral:rRNA from 1 species
CAUCCUGGAGUCUUCGGUGAAUCUGUCCGAAUGGGGCAUGGAUGGGCGGGAGCGUGAGAGGUCGAUCUUCUACUCCCCUCUUUGGUUCUCCCACGACCAGCACGUUCACUUGGUCAAGGGCUACAUGGACCUCCUGGACUCCGAACCCCCUCCCAAAAAUCCAAAAAGCGCCAACAACCCCAACCAGUCUUCUCGCGUGAGC